rnacentral:rRNA from 1 species
AGGGUUCGAUUCCGGAGAGGGAGCCUGAGAAACGGCUACCACAUCUAAGGAAGGCAGCAGGCGCGUAAUUUACCCAAUCCUAAUUCAGGGAGGUAGUGACAAGAAAUAACGGACUGGGCUUCGGUCCAGGAUUGCAAUGAGUAGAAUUUAAACCCCUUUGCGAGGAUCUAUUGGAGGGCAAGUCUGGUGCCAGCAGCCGCGGUAAUUCCAGCUCCAAUAGCGUAUAUUAAAGUUGUUGCAGUUAAAAAGCUCGUAGUUGGAUUUCUGUCGGGUCGAAAUUGUCCGCCUGCUGGUGAGUGCAUACUCGACCCGACAUCCUUCUGUUAACGAUUCUUGGUAUUCACUUACUGGUUUCGGGCUCAGAUAUUUUACCUUGAGAAAAUUAGAGUGUUUCAGGCAGGCUUGGUUCGGAAUACAUUAGCAUGGAAUAAUAGAAUAGGACUUUGGUCUCCUUUGUUGGUUUGAGGGACUGAAGUAAUGAUUGAUAGGGACAGUUGGGG